UCGGUGAGGUGAUAUGAACCGUUAUAACCGGCGAUUUCCGAAUGGGGAAACCCAGUGUGUUUCGACACACUAUCAUUAACUGAAUCCAUAGGUUAAUGAGGCGAACCGGGGGAACUGAAACAUCUAAGUACCCCGAGGAAAAGAAAUCAACCGAGAUUCCCCCAGUAGCGGCGAGCGAACGGGGAGGAGCCCAGAGCCUGAAUCAGUGUGUGUGUUAGUGGAAGCGUCUGGAAAGGCGCGCGAUACAGGGUGACAGCCCCGUACACAAAAAUGCACAUAUUGUGAGCUCGAUGAGUAGGGCGGGACACGUGGUAUCCUGUCUGAAUAUGGGGGGACCAUCCUCCAAGGCUAAAUACUCCUGACUGACCGAUAGUGAACCAGUACCGUGAGGGAAAGGCGAAAAGAACCCCGGCGAGGGGAGUGAAAAAGAACCUGAAACCGUGUACGUACAAGCAGUGGGAGCCUCUUAAUGGGGUGACUGCGUACCUUUUGUAUAAUGGGUCAGCGACUUAUAUUCUGUAGCAAGGUUAACCGAAUAGGGGAGCCGAAGGGAAACCGAGUCUUAACUGGGCGUUAAGUUGCAGGGUAUAGACCCGAAACCCGGUGAUCUAGCCAUGGGCAGGUUGAAGGUUGGGUAACACUAACUGGAGGACCGAACCGACUAAUGUUGAAAAAUUAGCGGAUGACUUGUGGCUGGGGGUGAAAGGCCAAUCAAACCGGGAGAUAGCUGGUUCUCCCCGAAAGCUAUUUAGGUAGCGCCUCGUGAAUUCAUCUCCGGGGGUAGAGCACUGUUUCGGCAAGGGGGUCAUCCCGACUUACCAACCCGAUGCAAACUGCGAAUACCGGAGAAUGUUAUCACGGGAGACACACGGCGGGUGCUAACGUCCGUCGUGAAGAGGGAAACAACCCAGACCGCCAGCUAAGGUCCCAAAGUCAUGGUUAAGUGGGAAACGAUGUGGGAAGGCCCAGACAGCCAGGAUGUUGGCUUAGAAGCAGCCAUCAUUUAAAGAAAGCGUAAUAGCUCACUGGUCGAGUCGGCCUGCGCGGAAGAUGUAACGGGGCUAAACCAUGCACCGAAGCUGCGGCAGCGACACUAUGUGUUGUUGGGUAGGGGAGCGUUCUGUAAGCCUGUGAAGGUGGCCUGUGAGGGUUGCUGGAGGUAUCAGAAGUGCGAAUGCUGACAUAAGUAACGAUAAAGCGGGUGAAAAGCCCGCUCGCCGGAAGACCAAGGGUUCCUGUCCAACGUUAAUCGGGGCAGGGUGAGUCGACCCCUAAGGCGAGGCCGAAAGGCGUAGUCGAUGGGAAACAGGUUAAUAUUCCUGUACUUGGUGUUACUGCGAAGGGGGGACGGAGAAGGCUAUGUUGGCCGGGCGACGGUUGUCCCGGUUUAAGCGUGUAGGCUGGUUUUCCAGGCAAAUCCGGAAAAUCAAGGCUGAGGCGUGAUGACGAGGCACUACGGUGCUGAAGCGACAAAUGCCCUGCUUCCAGGAAAAGCCUCUAAGCAUCAGGUAACAUCAAAUCGUACCCCAAACCGACACAGGUGGUCAGGUAGAGAAUACCAAGGCGCUUGAGAGAACUCGGGUGAAGGAACUAGGCAAAAUGGUGCCGUAACUUCGGGAGAAGGCACGCUGAUAUGUAGGUGAAGCGACUUGCUCGUGGAGCUGAAAUCAGUCGAAGAUACCAGCUGGCUGCAACUGUUUAUUAAAAACACAGCACUGUGCAAACACGAAAGUGGACGUAUACGGUGUGACGCCUGCCCGGUGCCGGAAGGUUAAUUGAUGGGGUUAGCGGUAACGCGAAGCUCUUGAUCGAAGCCCCGGUAAACGGCGGCCGUAACUAUAACGGUCCUAAGGUAGCGAAAUUCCUUGUCGGGUAAGUUCCGACCUGCACGAAUGGCGUAAUGAUGGCCAGGCUGUCUCCACCCGAGACUCAGUGAAAUUGAACUCGCUGUGAAGAUGCAGUGUACCCGCGGCAAGACGGAAAGACCCCGUGAACCUUUACUAUAGCUUGACACUGAACAUUGAGCCUUGAUGUGUAGGAUAGGUGGGAGGCUUUGAAGUGUGGACGCCAGUCUGCAUGGAGCCGACCUUGAAAUACCACCCUUUAAUGUUUGAUGUUCUAACGUGGGCCCCUUACCGGGGUUGCGGACAGUGUCUGGUGGGUAGUUUGACUGGGGCGGUCUCCUCCUAAAGAGUAACGGAGGAGCACGAAGGUUGGCUAAUCCUGGUCGGACAUCAGGAGGUUAGUGCAAUGGCAUAAGCCAGCUUGACUGCGAGCGUGACGGCGCGAGCAGGUGCGAAAGCAGGUCAUAGUGAUCCGGUGGUUCUGAAUGGAAGGGCCAUCGCUCAACGGAUAAAAGGUACUCCGGGGAUAACAGGCUGAUACCGCCCAAGAGUUCAUAUCGACGGCGGUGUUUGGCACCUCGAUGUCGGCUCAUCACAUCCUGGGGCUGAAGUAGGUCCCAAGGGUAUGGCUGUUCGCCAUUUAAAGUGGUACGCGAGCUGGGUUUAGAACGUCGUGAGACAGUUCGGUCCCUAUCUGCCGUGGGCGCUGGAGAACUGAGGGGGGCUGCUCCUAGUACGAGAGGACCGGAGUGGACGCAUCACUGGUGUUCGGGUUGUCAUGCCAAUGGCACUGCCCGGUAGCUAAAUGCGGAAGAGAUAAGUGCUGAAAGCAUCUAAGCACGAAACUUGCCCCGAGAUGAGUUCUCCCUGACUCCUUGAGAGUCCUGAAGGAACGUUGAAGACGACGACGUUGAUAGGC
rnacentral:rRNA from 1 species